rnacentral:misc_RNA from 1 species
AUAAUGUUGAGAUAGAUGAAUAUGGCUGUAGAUAAAGCUUAAAUGAUGAAAGAAACCAGCCUGCAAUAAUAGGGAAUGAAACUAUUUUGAAUAUCUGCUGGAUUGUUUGGUUAAAAGGGAGUAGAUGUGGUGGAUAAAAAAUACCAAGUUAGCAAGCUAAAGUCAACAAUGAUUUAUCCUUUUUUUUUAAAUCUAUUUUUGCAACUAGUUCCUUUUAUGUGAAGAUGACAAGAAUUCAAUGUGAU